rnacentral:sRNA from 1 species
UAUCUUCUUCUUUUUUGUU